rnacentral:sRNA from 1 species
AUCACUCAUUUACCGAGGAUUAAGCUUUCUCGUCCAUUACUGGAAUUGUCCAGCUUUGGACACCGAGUGGCUCCUGUCACUCUGUUUGACGCCUCCCUGUUAUCAACUUUCUAGCCGCCGGAAACGGCGGCUCUUUUUUG